rnacentral:lncRNA from 1 species
GAAGACCAUGGAAUCGUGAUCAAUCUCAGAGCUGUUCGCGUUUCUUCCAAAUCCAGAUCCAGUAACCCAGUGAACGAUCCAAAAGUUCUUGUUGGUGUUCCUCAACCUAGCAAUACUUUUCUUCCAAAUCAUAUUCCGAGUGAGCUUGUGUUUCUUUCUCAGUCAAUCUCUUUCAUCCAUCCUUGUGUUAAUACUGUUUCUAUAAUUUUGUUUCUUCCAAAUCCAGAUCCUAGUUAACCCAAGGAACACUCCAUAAGGUCCCAACCAGAUCAGAAAAUAUAGAGAUGGCAAACAGGUUGUCCUGUCCCAUCCGUCCCAGACCGCAGUGGGAUUUUCUUCAAGCGAGUCAUGGCGGGUCAGGUCCACGUGGGCGGUCUCUGGAAUAGCUGCCCAAACCCGUCCCGCUAUAUGUACAAGCCUUUGCGGGCCGGCCCGCAGGACAUAUGAUAAUACAUGCAAUAGGAUGCUUCAGGCCACUCCAGGACCCUUUAGGCCACUCUAGAACAUGAUUCAUGUCGUCGAUUGAACUCUACAUGAUUCAUCAUUCAUUUAUUUGCGUAUUUGUUAUUCAAAAAAUGGUUGUAGUUAAUGUUUUCACACUCCAAACAUAUUAACAUACCAAUUAAAGAUAUUGCAUAUGAUGUUUUUCAUUAGCUUAUAACUCAUAACUUCAUAACCAAUGUUUUUAGUUUGAUGAAUCCAAAAAAUAAAUUAAAAAGAACACCAAACUAAAACACCACCAGAGCUCAAAUUGUCAUCAUCGGAACUCGAAUCAUCAUCGCCGAAGCUCAAAUUGUCACCGUCGGAUCUCCUUUCAUUUUCUCUGGGGGAAGUCACACGAAUCACCUUCUUCUCACUCCCUCUCUCUUUUUCUUAAGGUAAAACAAAAAAAAAAUGAAGAAGAAAAAAAAGCAGGUCCUUGUAAUCCCACAUAGCCCCCUUCGGCCCAUCCCAAAAAACCCAGUCCCAUAACAACCUGUCCCGCUAAUUUGCGAGCCUAGAAUAUCCCGGCCCAAUACCGUCCCACGACAGUUCUUUACGGGCCAGGCUCGCGAUCCAGAUCUAUGUUUGCCAUCCCUAAGCAAAUACAAGAUCAUGAUCUAGUUCCUGUUGGUGUUCAUUAACCUAACAAUUAUUUUCCUCCAAAUCAUAUUCCAAAUGAGCAUAUGUUUCUUUCUCAGACAAUCUCUCUCUUCCAUCCUUGUGUUAAUACUGUUUUAUAUUUUUGUAUCAUCCAAAUCCAGAUCUAGUUAACCCAUUG